GCGCCGUUAUCCGCCUGAUUCACCAAAAAACCCUAAAUAUGCCUCCCCAUCGUCACCACACCGCCGCCACAUCACACUAUUCAUACUGUUGUAGAAAAUCCUCAAAAGUAUGCGUGUUGUUUGAGAAACGUGAUUUCUUCGACAAAUAAAAUUAUAAUAAAACAAACAGUAAUUAAUUACUCCAUCAAUUUUUACUCACAAAAAUUGAUGUUGCAGAGUAUUCAAAAUCAAAAUUUAAUGGAGAUGAUGAAUUUAAAAUAAAAACAAAUCAAUCGGUUUAACAAAACAAACCGCAUCGGCAACAACUUGUUUGACGGGGUCUUCAAAUCGUCGAGCCGAAACCUCGUCGUCGCCUGCCUUCGCGGCCAGAGCUCCACCCCCAAUAUGUCCAAUCAUGAUGGUUACAGCAGUUCUUCACCUAAUAUGUCUGCCAAUGUUUGUCGGAGCAGUAUUUAACGGCGUCGGCCGAAAUCUGAUCGAGAAGAGAAGA
rnacentral:lncRNA from 1 species